rnacentral:tRNA from 1 species
UUCCCUUUAGCUCAGUCAGUAAAGAAUCUGCCUGCAAUGCAGGAGACCCAGGUUCGAUUCCUGGGUUGGGAA